CUUGAACUUUAUAAGAGGUCCAGCCUGCCCAGUGACUCUGUUCAACGGCCGCGGUAUCCUAACCGUGCGAAGGUAGCGUAAUCACUUGUUCUUUAAAUGUGGACUAGUAUGAAUGGCACUACGAGGGUUAUACUGUCUCCUUUUUCUAAUCAGUGAAACUAAUUUUCCCGUGAAGAAGCGGGAAUAUUACUAUAAGACGAGAAGACCCUAUGGAGCUUUAAACAACCCAGCAAUUACUUCUAAAAUUAUAAAUUUCAGAAUAUUUAUUUUUCUAAGUAAUAUGUCUGCAAGUUUUUGGUUGGGGUGACCAUGGAGAAUAACAUAACCUCCAUAUUGAAUGAAUUCCCUUCUAAGCUAAAAAUUACCUAUUGAAGCAUCAAUAUACUGACAUCUAUUGACCCAAUAUAUUUGAUCAACGAACCAAGUUACCCUAGGGAUAACAGCGCAAUCCACUUCAAGAGCCCCUAUCGACAAGUGGGUUUACGACCUCGAUGUUGGAUCAGGGUAUCCCAGUGGCGCAGCC
rnacentral:rRNA from 1 species